GACAAAACUAUUUAUGACAAAUGUUAAAAUUGUCAAAAAAACAAUGAAGACAGUAUACCGAGGUAAAGUACUAUCAAUUACUCAUGAAAGAAAAAUAUAAAGAUUAAAUAUAAAAAUAUCAUCUGAUGCACAAUGAUAAUACAAAAUGUAGGUAUGUUGUUAAAAUCAUAGUGGAAGAUGAAACAGAUAAUGCAAGAGUCACACUUUUUGACACAGCAGAAACUUUGAUAGGAUGCAAUGCUCAAAAAUUCAUGGAUGAUAUAAAAGAGAAAAAAAAUCAGAGUUCAUUCUUUCAAAAGUUUGUUCUCAACAUCGAAAAGACAUACAAGUUCCUUGUAAAGUUGGAUGAGAAAUCAAAGGAUGAACGUGCACAAGGAAAGAUAAUAGUACAAGAAAUCCAAAUCCAAGAAGACAUCACAAUCAACAUUGAUGAUGAUGAUGAUUCGGUUCUCGAUUUACCAAAAAAAAAAGAUAAAGGUGGAGAAGGAUUGAUCAAGGGCCCACAAAAAUUAAACAUGAAUGUUUUUUAAUUUUAAUUACAUUUACAAAUUGGUUGAAGGAUUUCAAAUGAGCUUUUCAUAUGCUUUUAAGAUUAUGAACUGAUGAAUUUAACUUGUUAGGAUAAUUUAUGAUUUAUACGCAUAUGCUCAUAUAGUUGUUUGAUAACUAUUGCAUGCUUUGAUUGUUAUUGCAGUUAUUAACUUAAAUUUAACAUUCAAUUAUGUGAAUCUAAAUACAUAUUCAGAGAAUAGUUCACUUUAUUACUUUAAAUUUGCAUGUCAACUAUUUUUUACUUAUCUAUACUGCACACAAACUAUUGUUGAUGAGUCCUUUGCAAGAAAUAUGAUGACCAAGCACAACUUCCUGAACCUGUUGAGAGGAAACAAUAGCUUUCUAUAGAGAAGGUAGCUAAUUUUACAAAAUUGUUAUUCUAAUUUAUUUCUUUUAGUAGCCCAAAUUUAUUUGUAUCUGUUUUAUGACAUGGCCAGGUUCUCAGUGUUCUUAAAAGAAUAAUCAAUGAAGAUUGCCUACUACUAGGUUUCAUACUGAAAGAUGAUCGUCCGGAUUGGAUGAUAUUACGACUUCUUCCUAUUCAACCAUCUACUGUAAGACCAUCUGUUAUGAUGGACAGCUUUGCUAGAAGUGAGCUACGGAGGAGGUCAAUGGUCCGAGAAAA